CGCCAGCAGCCGCGGUAAUACGUAGGGGGCGAGCGUUGUCCGAAUUUACUGGGCGUAAAGCGCGCGUAGGCGGACCUUUAAGUCAGGUGUGAAAUGCCGGGGCUCAACUCCGGAACUGCACCUGAAACUGGGGGUCUUGAGGUAUGGAGAGGGAAGUGGAAUUCCUGGUGUAGCGGUGAAAUGCGUAGAUAUCAGGAGGAACACCCGUGGCGAAGGCGGCUUCCUGGCCAUAUCCUGACGCUGAGGUGCGAAAGCUAGGGGAGCGAACGGGAUUAGAUACCCCGGUAGUCCUAGCCGUAAACGAUGGAUACUAGGUGUUAGUGGUAUCGACCCCACUAGUGCCGCAGCUAACGCAAUAAGUAUCCCGCCUGGGGAGUACGGCCGCAAGGUUGAAACUUAAAGGAAUUGGCGGGGGAC
rnacentral:rRNA from 1 species